UAUUAUUACAAAAUUCUCUUUUGAAAGACAAUCAUAGAUCUUGAUUCUUCAUUUCGUAAAACCCUAGAAAAAUUUCCCCAACUUUGAUCGGUUCUUCCAAUUGAUUUCAUCCUAAAAGGUGCAAGCAUUGAGUUUGAUGAAGUGAUGGUGAGCUGGAACAGUCUGUCUUGCAUUGAUUGUUGGCUUUUCAAGUAUUGAUUGUGUGCUUCGGGGGAAGAAUGAACAUUGUAAAGGGUGUCGCGGGACUUAUUCGAAGGAGUUCGGGUAGCCAUGGUGGAGAAUCCAGUUCAGGGUCACCACUAGAGAAGUUCUCCCCUCCUACUCCACUCAUCCACUUCAGUGAGGUUGGGGAUGAGGCAAUUCUGAAUACACUCUGGUCAAGAUACGAGAAUGCCCCUGAUAAGGUUGAAAAGAGAAGGUUAAUGCAUAUCUUUUUGAAGCAAUUCCUAAUUGUAUACCGUGAUUGGCAACCAAUUAACCCUCUUCAGUCUCCUAAGGAUCAUGGCUUUGUGCAGCCGGUGGAUUCACAGCAUUCUGGAGAUGUUGUGGUUGGCUGUUCUUUUGGACAUCCUUCUGAAAUUAUAGCUGCCCUCAUUGAGGAAGUUGCACAAAUGAUAACGCUUGUUAAUGAACACUUAUCAAGAAAUUCUUCUACAAUAACCUCCGAAGGGCUGCCUAUCUUGGAUUCUUUGACUGUUAUUACUCGGUCAAUGCACAAUUGCAGAGUUUUUGGCUACUAUGGUGGUAUUCAGAAGCUUACGGCAUUAAUGAAAGCUGCUGUUGUCCAACUGAAGGCUAUUGCUAGUGCUCUUUCGGCAGAUGAAGCUUUGUCGAACCCUGUUGCAGAGAAGAUUGCAAUUCUCCAGAACAUUCUUUUAUAUGUGGUGUCUAUUAUUGGUAGCUUUAUUAACUUGCAUUUCAGCACACCCAAAAAGACUUGGUUGAAUAGUGGUUACAUGGAGAUUUUUGGGCCUAGAAGUGUUGAAAUACAUGACAUUGUUACUGGCAUAGAUGUGUCUGAUUCUGAAACAAUGAUAAGGUGGCGUCAAAAGGCAAUUGUCUCUGUAAUGGAAGCUGGUGGUCUUAACUGGUUAGUAGAGCUGUUGCGUGUUAUGAAGAGGUUGAGUAUGAAGGAGCAGGAUACAGAUAUUUCACUUCAUUAUCUAACUCUUAGAGCUCUUCAAUUAGCAUUAGUUGAUAACCCUCGCGGUCAGAAUCAUUUUCGAAGUAUUGGAGGACUGGAAGUUCUGUUGGAUGGACUCGGAGUUGCAUCUAACAGUGCUCUGAGAAUGAGAGACUUCUCAACUUCAGAUACAUCAAGGAAUGCCAAUAUUUUAAUGUGUACGUUCCAGCUCCAUGUUCUCUCGUUGGAGGUUCUAAGAGAGGCGGUCUUUGGAAAUUUGAAUAAUUUGCAAUUUUUAUCAGAAAAUGGACGAGUGCAGAAGUUUGCAAAUAGCUUUUGUUCACUUGCAUUCAUGCUUCAAGAGUACAAGGAGAAAAGUGACAACUUGUUUGCCCAGGAUGACAUGGAAAUAACUGUUUCUAGUGAUAAUGAUACAACUGGGGAAGAAGUUCUAGAAACAAAACUUUCUAGUAAAUCCAGUACACCUUACUUAAAGAAUUGGCACGACUAUGUUUCCAAGCUUAGUACUGUCCUUUUCACUUUCCUUCUUUCACCAGAAGAUGCAAAGGCGGAUAACAGCCAAACAUCCACUGUAAAAAGUAGCUUGCCAGUCUCUUCAGCAUAUGGAGAACUUUCUGUAAAGUGGAUCAUUAGAGUUCUCCUCACAGUCUUUCCAUGCAUAAAAGCAUGCUCAAAUCAGAAGGAGCUGCCUGGUCACUUAAGGACAUUUAUCUACACCCUUCAGCAUCAUGUUCUAUCUGCAUUCAAGAAAAUUCUGGUGUUGUUGCCAUCUUUGCUACAUGUAUUCCGGGCAGAAGGAGCUUGGGACUUUAUCUUCUCAGAGAAUUUCUUUUAUUUUUGCCUAGAAUCACUAGGUUCUUCUGACGAUUCCUUAUCAAAAAAAGGUUAUUCUGAUGAUUGUAAUGAACAGUGUUGUGAUUCAAAUGGCAGAACUGCUAGCCUAAACCUUCAUGAGCUUGAAGCUCUUCAGACAGAAGUGGUUUCAUUUUUGGAGUUUGCAGCAACUUUAACCGGAAGUUCUCACAACCUGCCUGAGUGCUCCAUUUUGCUGGAGGCUCUUGAACAAUCUGCUUGUAAUCCUGGGGUUGCAAAUCUUCUUGCUAAGGGCCUACUUCAAAUGAUGCAGUCUUCAUCAGAGAAAACUCUUUCUUCUUUUAAAACACUCGAUGCAGUUCCUCGUGUCCUCAAAGUUGCCUGCAUUCAGGCCCAAGAGUCUAAAAGGCAUGGCAUUGCUAGUCCUCAAACUGAGGAUGAUCCUGUUCCUUCUCUAAACCAAGACAUGGCAAAUUCUUUCGAGAUGAUUCAUAGUUGGCAGAACAGCAUGGAAACUUUUAUUGAACUCUUCACUGAAUUUUUCUCUCUUACAAAUGAUGCCAAAAACUCUACUUUGCACAGUGCUACCUGCGUUGAUCAUUUGUUUGAAUUGUUUUGGGAAGAAAAAUUGAGAAAUCACAUGCUUCCUCUUAUUCUUGAUUUGAUGAAGAUUGUUCCAUCUUCUGAGGAGGACCAGAAAGCUAAAUUGUAUUUAUGUUCUAAGUAUCUGGAAACAUUUACUCAUGUUAAGGACCGGGAGAACUUUGUAGAAUUGUCUAUUGAUCUAUUGGUUGGGAUGAUUGAUUUGCUUUUGACAGAUAUAGAGUAUUAUCAGGCUUUAUUUCGUGAGGGCGAGUGUUUUAUACAUGUUGUAUCCUUGCUAAAUGGAAACCUUGACGUGCCCAAAGGUGAAGAGCUGGUUCUGAAUGUCCUCCAAACACUAACCUGCUUGCUUUCUGGGAACGAUGUGUCAAAGGCUGCGUUUCAAGCUCUUGUGGGCACAGGUUAUCAGACUUUGCGUAGCUUGCUGUUGGACUUCUGCCAAUGGCAACCAAGUGAGGCGCUUUUAGAUGCUCUGCUUGAUAUGUUGGUUGAUGGGAAAUUUGAUCUCAAGGCAAGCCCUGUGAUAAAGAAUGAAGAUGUCAUCUUGCUAUAUCUCAGUGUCCUGCAAAAGAGCAGUGACUCAUCGCGGAAUCAGGGGCUUGAUAUUUUUCUUCAGCUUAUAAGAGAUUCAAUGUCCAAUCAAGCUUCUUGUGUUAAAUCAGGGAUGCUAAACUUUCUUCUUGAUUGGUUUCCCCAAGAGGGCAAGGACACCGUUGUCUUGAAAAUUGCCCAAUUAAUUCAGGUUAUUGGUGGGCAUAGCAUUUCUGGAAAAGAUAUACGCAAAAUCUUUGCUUUACUCCGGAGUGAGAAAGUAGGGUCGCAUCAGCAGUACAGCUCAUUGCUUUUGACCAGCAUGCUGUCAAUGCUCAACGAGAAGGGACCAACUGCCUUCUUUGAUCUCAAUGGGGUGGAAUCGGGAAUUUCGAUAAAGACUCCAGUUCAGUGGCCAUUGAAUAAGGGGUUCUCUUUUACUUGUUGGCUAAGAGUAGAAAGCUUUCCUAGAGGUGGUGGAACAAUGGGGCUUUUCAGUUUUCUCACUGAAAGUGGAAGAGGAUGCAUUGGUGUUCUUGGAAAAGACAAGCUUAUAUAUGAGUCAAUUAAUCAGAAAAGGCAAUCCGUUGUGCUGCAAGUCAAUCUUGUUAGAAAGAAGUGGCAUUUUUUGUGUUUAACACAUACAAUUGGUAGGACAUUUUCUGGAGGUAGCCAACUGAAGUGUUAUUUGGAUGGAACUCUUGUAUCCUCUGAAAAAUGCAGAUAUGCAAAGGUAAAUGAGCCUAUGACUUGUUGCACUAUUGGCAUGAAAAUUAGUCUACCUUCCUAUGAGGAAGAGAGUCCUACACUUUCUUCGAAAGAUCCAUCUGCUUUCUAUGGUCAGAUUGGUCCAGUUUACUUGUUCAAUGAUUCCAUUGCUUCAGAACAUGUGCAAGGCAUCUAUUCUUUAGGACCUAGCUACAUGUAUUCCUUCCUGGAUAAUGAAACUGCAGUUCAUUUGGAUAACCCAUUGCCCAGUGGAGUGCUUGAUGUUAAAGAUGGUCUUGCAUCCAAAAUCAUAUUUGGACUUAAUUCACAGGCACGUAAUGGAAGACGUUUAUUUAAUGUUUCACCUGUGGUGGAUCCUGGAAUAGAUAAAAGUUCAUUUGAAGCAACUGUAUUGGUUGGGACACAGCUGUGUUCUAGACGACUGCUUCAACAGAUCAUAUAUUGUGUUGGGGGCGUCUCUGUGUUUUUCCCUCUUUUCACUAAAACUGAUUUGUAUGAAAUAGAAGAAGCUAAGCAAGCUGGCCAAGAUUUACUUACCCCAAUUACAAAGGAGCGCUUAACUGCAGAAGUUAUUGAACUUAUAGCUUCUGUUCUGGAUGACAAUUUAGCCAAUCAACAACAGAUGCUGCUUCUUUCUGGAUUUCCAAUGCUGGGUUUCUUGCUGCAGUCAGUUCCACCUGAGCAAUUAAAUAUGGAUACACUGUCUGCUUUGAAACAUUUGUUGAAUGUGGUUGCAAUUGGUGGUCUGUCAGAUAUGCUAGUCAAGGAUGCUAUAUCCCAUAUAUUUCUCAGCCCUGUUAUAUGGGUCUACUCAGUUUACAGGGUUCAACGUGAACUGUAUAUGUUUCUCAUCCAGCAAUUCGAUAAUGAUCCAAGGUUGCUGAGAAGUUUAUGUAGGCUCCCACGUGUUCUGGACAUAAUUCGGCAGUUUUACUGGGAUGAUGUCAAAACUCGUUUUGCUGUUGGAAGCAAGCCUCUUUUACAUCCUGUAACCAAGCAAGUUAUAGGGGAGAGACCUAGCAAAGAUGAAAUACAUAAAAUUCGUCUCCUUCUAUUGAGUCUUGGUGAGAUGAGUCUCAGGCAGCAUAUUUCAGCAUCAGAUAUAAAAUCUCUCAUAGCCUUUUUUGAGCGUAGCCAGGACAUGGCUUGUAUUGAAGAUGUUCUACAUAUGGUUAUUCGAGCUGUUUCCCAGAAACAGCUGCUUGCUUCUUUCCUUGAACAAGUCAAUUUGAUUGGUGGCUGUCACAUAUUUGUAAAUCUUCUUGAAAGGGACUUCGAACCCAUCAGGCUACUAGGUCUGCAGUUCCUUGGACGACUGCUGGUUGGUCUUCCGUUGGAGAAGAAAGGAUCAAAAUUUUUCAGUAUUGCUGUUGGCAGAUCUAAAUCUCUUCUAGAGGGCCCUAGGAAAGUUAGUUCAAGGACACAGCCCAUUUUCUCAGUUAUAUCUGACAGACUGUUCAAAUUUCCUCAGACAGAUCUCUUAUGUGCGACAUUAUUUGAUGUUCUGCUUGGAGGUGCCAGCCCUAAACAGGUUCUACAGAAGCAUAAUCAACUUGACCGUCAAAAAAGUAGCAAAAGUAGCUCUCAGUUUUUCCUUCCUCAGAUUUUAGCCAUUAUUUUCAGAUUUUUGUCUGGUUGCAAGGAUGCUCCUACAAGAAUAAAAAUUAUUAGCGAUCUACUUGAUCUUCUCGAUUCAAAUACUACAAACAUUGAAGCUCUAAUGGAACACGGUUGGAAUGCAUGGCUGGAUGCCUCGGUGAAGCUUAAUGCAUUGAAAAACUACAAAUUGGAGUCGAAAAUUAAUGAUGACACUGAAACGAGUGAGCAAAAUCUAUUGAGGAGUUUCUACUGUGUUGUUCUUUGUCAUUAUAUGCAUUCUAUAAAAGGUGGCUGGCAACACUUGGAGGAGACUGUGAACUUUCUCCUUGUACAAUGUGAACAAGGUGGCAUUUCUUAUAGGCACUUUCUUCGUGAUCUGUACGAGGACUUAGUCCGCAAGUUGUUAGACUUAUCUGCAGUGGAGAAUGUUCUCAUCACUCAGCCUUGUCGAGACAACAUGCUGUAUCUUUUGAAACUUGUUGAUGAGAUGCUUCUUUCUGAAAUGAAGUUUAAUCUUCCGUAUCCAGCCAGCAACACAGAAUUUUCUUCAGAGUUUUUAGAACUAGAACAGCUGAAAGACCUUGGUUCUGCUUUACUUGAUGCCCUCCAAGGAGAACCUGAUGAGAAGCUAUCAAGGAGUCAUGUUUUCAAGCUGCCUGACACUAAUGAAGUUGAGAAAAUUGACGAUGAGUGGUGGAAUUUAUGUGACAAUAUUUGGAGUGCUAUUAGUGAGAUGAAUGGCAAGGGACCAAGCAAGAUGUUACCCAGGUCCUCACAGUCAGUUGCACCAUCACUUAGCCAAAGAGCCCGUGGCUUGGUAGAAUCACUGAAUAUACCAGCUGCAGAAAUGGCUGCAGUUGUUGUAUCUGGGGGAAUUAGCAAUGCUUUGGCUGGAAAACCCAACAAGCCUGUUGAUAAGGCUAUGCUUUUAAGAGGGGAAAAGUGUCCAAGAAUUGUAUUUCGGUUGAUUAUUCUAUAUCUUUGUAAAUCAUCGCUUGAACGAGCAUCUCGAUGUGUACAACAGAUUAUCCCUCUUUUACCUUGCCUUCUGACUGCUGAUGAUGAGCAAAGCAAGAGCCGCUUGCAGCUUUUUAUUUGGGCAUUACUUGCAGUUAGGUCUCAUUAUGGGGCACUGGAUGAUGGGGCUAGAUUUCAUGUUAUAGCUCACAUAAUUCGGGAAACUGUCAAUUGCGGGAAACUUAUGCUAGCUACAAGUAUAGUGAGCAGAGAAGAUUCUGUAGAAUCAGGGAGCAGUACUAAAGAGGGAAGCACCAUUCACAAUCUGAUUCAAAAGGAUCGUGUGCUUUCUGCGUUUGCUGAUGAAGUAAAAUAUGUCAAGAGUUCAACAGCAGAUAGGACCACACAGUUGCAUGAGCUUCGUGUGAGGUUGGAUGAAACGACAAUCACAGACUCCAACCAAAAGAAAGCUUUUGAAGAUGAAAUACAGAGUAGUUUAAAUGUCAUUCUUGCCUCUGAUGACAACAGAAGGAGUUCUUUCCAACUAGCAUAUGAUGAGCAGCAGCAAAUUGUUGCUGGCAAGUGGAUUCACACUUUUCGCUCUCUUAUUGAUGAAAGGGGUCCUUGGUCAGCUGAUCCUUUCCCAAACAGCACAUUAACACACUGGAAACUUGAUAAAACAGAGGACACAUGGCGUCGCCGACAGAAGUUGAGAAGGAAUUAUCAUUUUGAUGAAAAACUUUGUCGUCCUACCUCUACCACACCUAGUAUUGAGGUUCUUAAUCCUUCCAAUGAUGCCAAAUCUGGUUUUGCGGCACAUAUUCCAGAGCAAAUGAAGAGGUUCUUGCUGAAAGGAAUUAGGAGGAUUACUGAUGAGGGUCCAUCUGAAUUGAAUGAAAGCGAGAGCGAGCUUAGUGGGCAAAAGCCUGGCUCCGAAGACUUGUCCGAUAGACAGUAUUUGGAGGUCGUAAAAGAAAGUGGUGAUCUGAAGGACAUCGCUAAGGAAGACUUAGAUUGCUCCUCCACCCAGAUGGAAUCAGAGGAUAGUGAGGUUCUCAUGUCAGUCCCCUGUGUCCUUGUUACACCAAAGAGAAAGUUAGCUGGACAUUUAGCAGUGAAAAAGAAAUUUUUGCAUUUCUUUGGUGAAUUUCUUGUCGAAGGUACAGGAGGGUCAUCUGUUUUCAGAAACUUUGACUCUUCUGGUAAGUUUGAUAUCAACAAGUCGGAACAGUUAGGGGGGCUCCAAAAUCACAAAUAUCUCAAGUGGCCCAUGAGUUAUGAUUUAGAUAACGAGAGAGGGAGAGCCAUUAAUAGCAUUGGUGCUGUCAAUAAUGACGAGCAUCAAAAGCAUCCUAACAACAUAAAUCGGCACAGGAGAUGGACAAUCUUCAAGGUAAAGGCUGUCCAUUGGACUAGAUAUUUGCUAAGAUAUACAGCGAUUGAAAUUUUCUUCAGUGAUUCCACUGCUCCUGUAUUUUUUAACUUUGCUUCAAAAAAGGAUGCCAAAGACGUUGGAAGCUUAAUAGUUCUAAACAGAAACGAAAGUAUGUUUCCCAAGGGUUACAGGGACAAGGCUGGAGUUAUUUCUUUUGUGGACAGACGUGUGGCAUUGGAGAUGGCAGAAAAUGCUAGAGAACGCUGGAAGAGGAGGGAGAUAACAAACUUUGAGUAUUUGAUGGCUCUGAACACUCUAGCUGGGAGAUCUUACAAUGAUCUGACCCAGUAUCCCGUGUUCCCUUGGAUUCUGGCUGAUUAUUCCUCGGAAACUCUUGAUUUUAACAAAUCUUCUACCUUUAGGGAUCUAUCAAAACCUGUUGGAGCACUGGAUGCUAAAAGGUUCGAGGUUUUUGAGGAUAGAUAUCGCAGCUUCUCUGACCCUGAUAUUCCCAGUUUCUACUACGGUUCUCAUUACUCGAGCAUGGGAAUUGUGCUGUUUUACCUCCUGAGACUGGAACCUUUUACAGCCCUCCACCGUAAUCUUCAGGGUGGAAAAUUCGAUCACGCUGACCGGCUUUUUCAUAGCAUUGGAGGAACAUAUCGGAAUUGCCUUUCUAAUACAAGUGAUGUGAAAGAGUUGAUUCCUGAAUUCUUUUACAUGCCAGAAUUUCUGAUCAACUCAAACUCAUAUCAUUUUGGUGUCAAACAAGAUGGAGAACCAAUAGGUGAUAUUUGCCUACCUCCAUGGGCUAAGGGUUGUCCUGAGGAAUUUGUUAGUAAGAACAGAGAGGCCCUUGAAAGUGAAUAUGUGAGCUCAAAUCUACAUCAAUGGAUUGAUUUGGUAUUUGGUUACAAGCAGCGGGGAAAGCCUGCAGUUGAGGCAGCAAAUAUUUUUUACUAUUUGACAUAUGAAGAUGCUGUGGAUCUGGAUACCAUGGAUGAUGAAUUGCAAAGGUCUGCCAUAGAAGAUCAAAUUGCCAACUUUGGUCAAACACCAAUUCAACUUUUCCGGAAGAAACAUCCUAGAAGAGGACCUCCGAUUCCAAUUGCUCAUCCUCUACGAUUUGCCCCUGGUUCUAUUAACCUAAUGUCAAUGGCUUCAUGCGCAAGCAGUUGUCCGUCAGCUACUCUGUAUGUUAAUGUGCUGGACUCAAACAUUGUCCUUGUGAACCAGGGCCUCAGCAUGUCUGUUAAGACAUGGGUGACCACCCAAUUGCAGUCCGGUGGGAACUUUACCUUCUCUAGCUCACAGGAUCCUUUUUUCGGGAUUGGUUCUGAUAUCCUUCCUCCUCGGAAAAUUGGGAGUCCUCUGGCUGAAAAUAUCGAGCUUGGAGCACAAUGCUUUGGAACAUUAUCAACACCAUCUGAAAGUUUUUUGAUAACAUGUGGUACCUGUGAAAACAGCUUUCAGGUUAUUUCGCUAACUGAUGGAAGAAUGGUACAGAGCAUUAGACAACAUAAAGAUGUUGUGAGCUGCAUUUCAGUUACAUCUGAUGGAAGCAUCCUGGCUACUGGAAGUUUCGACACAACAGUAAUGAUCUGGGAGAUUGUUCGCAUCAGAACCUCUGAAAAGCGAGUAAAGCACACUCAAGCAGAGGUUCCUCGGAAAGAUUGUAUCAUUGCUGAAGCCCCUUUCCAUAUUUUGUGUGGUCAUGAUGACGUUAUUACGUGCUUGUAUGCAAGUAUUGAGCUUGAUAUAGUUAUAAGUGGAUCAAAAGAUGGAACUUGUGUUUUCCAUACGCUACGGGAUGGGAGAUACGUUAGAUCCCUACGACAUCCAUCUGGCAGUCCACUGUCAAAGCUUGUUGCAUCACGUCAUGGAAGGAUUGUUCUUUAUUCUGAUGAUGAUCUUAGUUUGCACCUCUACUCUAUAAAUGGCAAACACAUUUCAUCUUCUGAAUCCAAUGGCCGCCUAAACUGUCUUGAACUCAGUAGCUGCGGAGAGUUCUUGGCUUGUGCUGGAGAUCAAGGGCUGAUCAUCGUACGCUCUAUGAACUCACUUGAGAUUGUGGGGAAGUACAAUGGUAUUGGGAAAAUAGUAACUUCACUAACUGUGACACCGGAAGAAUGCUUUAUAGCCGGGACUAAGGAUGGAAGUCUUCUUGUUUAUUCAAUAGAAAACCCUCAACUUCGUAAAACUAGCAUUCCGAGGAAUUCAAAAUCCAAAGCUUCUAUGACAUAGUGAAUUUGCUGUUCUGGGCUGUGGUGUAAAUUUAACAAUACCAUCACUGGAAGUGAUGCUGAAUUGAGGGUGAAAUGAAGCAUAAUUAUGUCAUCAAAAAGACACGAGCUAUAUUAUGGAGUACGAGUACCUGAUUGGUGUUUCAUUUUUGAAGAGGAAAAUAUGGAUGUUUCUUCAGUAGCUAUUAUAGCAGUGCCCUCAAAUCGCUGUAUCCAUGACAGGAUUUUUCGAGCCUCAACCUGUAGAAAGAUAAAGAAUGGCAGAAUAUAGCACCAUCCAAACAUGAUGUGUUUGUGAUAUUCAGCUACUUGUGGAUGCAGUUGCCACCACCUAGUGUACAGCAUUUUGUGCACAUUUUCCUUGUAUGAGAGGCCUCAAAUGUUGUAUCAAGCGAUAACUGUAAUUAAACCGCGUUGAAAAUUAGCACCUUGUGAUUGUGAUCAUUGGGUGUUUAGCCCCAAAUGAUUUUUGUAUAGAUGGGCUUAACACCCUUAUAAGGAAAACCAUAUAAGUACUAUUAAAUGAAAAUUUCAUUGUGAUUUCC